UGCUAUCUCACUGUUAUCCACAUGAAUAGCUCAAAACCAAUGAUGUUUUGACACGUGGCCAAAAUCUACUAGUCAAAAUCAAAUCAUCUGACGUCGAAUUAUCUUUGAAAUGAUGGCUCAAUAAUGAUUUUACAGCUAUUGAAACAAUAAAACAGUCAAAAAUCUCUUGUACUCCAAAAAAUCAUGAACAUCAGUAGCCAAAUCUGGACUCGAGAUGACACGUGACAACUCCCUUCAUCCAACAUGAA
rnacentral:lncRNA from 1 species